rnacentral:misc_RNA from 1 species
UUUCUUAAAUACUGUCGUCCAUU